AGCGAACGCUGGCGGCAGGCUUAACACAUGCAAGUCGAACGGGCGUAGCAAUACGUCAGUGGCAGACGGGUGAGUAACGCGUGGGAACGUACCUUUUGGUUCGGAACAACCCAGGGAAACUUGGGCUAAUACCGGAUAAGCCCUUACGGGGAAAGAUUUAUCGCCGAAAGAUCGGCCCGCGUCUGAUUAGCUAGUUGGUGAGGUAACGGCUCACCAAGGCGACGAUCAGUAGCUGGUCUGAGAGGAUGAUCAGCCACAUUGGGACUGAGACACGGCCCAGACUCCUACGGGAGGCAGCAGUGGGGAAUCUUGCGCAAUGGGCGAAAGCCUGACGCAGCGACGCCGCGUGAGGGAUGACGGCCUGUGU
rnacentral:rRNA from 1 species